ensembl:lncRNA
AUGGUGCUGCUGCAUGGUGUGCAUGGUGUGCAAGGCGUGCAAGGUGCUGCUGCAUGGUGUGCAUGGUGCUGCUGCAUGGUGUGCAUGGUGUGCAAGGUGUGCAUGGUGUGCAUGGUGCUGCUGCAUGGUGUGCAUGGUGUGCAAGGUGUGCAUGGUGUGCAUGGUGCUGCAGCAUGGUGUGCAUGGGGUGCAAGGUGCUGCAGCAUGGUGUGCAUGGUGCUGCUGCAUGGUGUGCAUGCUGCUGCUGCAUGGUGCUGCUGCAAGAUGUGUGUGGUGCUGCUGCAAGGUGUGCAUGGUGCUGCUGCAAGGUGCUGCUGUAUGGUGUGCAUGCUGUGCAUGGUGCUGCUGCAUGGGGUAAAUGGUGUGCAUGGUGCAGCUGCAAGGUGUUGCUGCAUAGGGUGCAAGGUGCUGCUGCAUGGUGUGCAAGGUGCUGCUGCAUGGUGUGCAAGGUGCUGCUGCAUGGUGUGCAAGGUGUGCAUGGUGCUGCUGCAUGGUUCUGCUGCAUGGUUCUGCUGCAUGGUGUGCAUGGUGUGCAAGGUGUGCAAGGUGCUGCUGCAUGCAGCUGCUGCAUGGUGUGCAUGCUGUGCACGGUGUGCAAGGUGCUGCAUGGUCUGCAUGGUGCUGCUGCACGGUGUGCAUGGUGUGCAAGGUGUGCAUGGUGCUGCUGCAGCAAGAUGUGCAUGGUGUGCAUGGUGCUGCUGCAAGGUGUGCAUGGUGCUGCUGCAAGGUGUGCAUGGUGCUGCUGCAUGGUGUUGCUGCAAGGUGUGCAUGGUGUGCAUGGUGCUGCUGCAUGGUGUGCAUGGUGCUGCUGCAUGGUGCUGCUGCAUGGUGUGCAUGGCGUGCAUGGUGUGCAUGGCGCUGCUGCAUGGUGUGCAAGGUGUGCGUGGUGGUGCUGCUGCAAGAUGUGCAUGGUGUGCAUGGUGCUGCUGCAAGGUGCUGCAAGAUGUGCAAGGUGUGCAUGGUGCUGCUGCGUGGGGUGCAAGGUGCUGCUGCAAGGUGUGCAUUGUGUGCAAGGUGAGCAUGGUGGUGCUGCAUGGUGUGCAAGGUGUGUGGUGUGUGCAUGGUGCUGCUGCAUGGGCUGCAAGGCAGCACAAUGCAAGGCAGCACAGUGCAUCGCAGCGCCGCGCAACGCAACAAUGCAACACGGCACAGUGCAAUGCAAGACAAUGCAAUGCAGCACCGUGCAACGCAGCAGAACGCGACGCAGCACACACAAUGCAAUGCAGCACAGUGCAGUGUAACACAAUGCAAUGCAGCACAGUGCAAUGUAACACAAUGCAAUGCAGCACAGUGCAAUGUAACACAAUGCAAUGCAGCACAGUGCAAUGCAACACCGUGCAGUGCAGCACAGCGCAAUGCAACAACGCACUGCAGCAAUGCACUGCAGUGCAACACAGUGCAGCCAUGCAGUGCAGUGCUCGGCAGUGCAACAAACCCCCACGUGCAGCCCAGAUGCCCCCCAGCCCCCCACAUACACCCCAUAUGCCCCCUAUCAUCACCCCCUAUGCCUUCCAUGUCCCUCCCCACCCCAUAUACACCCCAUACACACCCCAUAUGCACCCCAUAUGCACCCCAUAUGCACUACCUGCACCCCAUACACACCCCAUAUGCCCCCCAUAUGUGCCCCAUAUGCCCCCUAUCAUCACCCCCUAUGCCCUCCAUGUCCCCCCCCCACCCCAUAUACACCCCCAUACACCCCGCACCCCCCACUUAUGCACCCCAUCUACCCCAUAUGAACCCCAUAUACACCCCCUAUGCCCCCAA